rnacentral:rRNA from 1 species
GGAGGUGGUGAAGCGAACGCUUUGAUUUUUAUUACAAACCCACUGUAAUGUCUUGUUGAAUGUAAUGCUCCUUGUGAGCGAAACGAAAUACAACUUUCAACAACGGAUCUCUUGGGCUCUCGCAUCGAUGAAGAACGCAGCGAAAUGCGAUAAGUAAUGUGAAUUGCAGAAUUCAGUGAAUCAUCGAAUCUUUGAACGCACCUUGCGCCCCUUGGUAUUCCGAGGGGCAUGCCUGUUUGAGUGUCAUGUUAAUCUCAAACCYCGGGUCUUUUUAACUAGAGACCUGUUCGGUUUGGACUUGGAGGUUACUGCUGGCUCCCUUCUGUGGUCGGCUCCUCUGAAAUGCAUUAGCUGGACUUUGGUUCGCAUCUACGGUGUAAUAGUAACUUGUAUUCGCCGGGUGCUUGCCUAGGGAGUCCGCUUCUAAUCGCCCCCUCGGGCAAGGUCUCCUUCCGUGACCUUCUUGAACACUUUGACCUCAAAUCAGGUAGGACUACCCGCUGAACUUAAGCAUAUCAAUAAGCGGAGGAAAAGAAACUAACAAGGAUUCCCCUAGUAACUGCGAGUGAAGCG